UUUGGCUGGGAUAGAGUUAAUUUUCUUCCUAGUGGCCGGAUUUAGAAGGAAAUGAGAAUAAUGUUAAUAAUACAUUGAUGUUUUAGUUGUUGCUAAGCAGUCAAGUACUUUUCAGUUUCUUGUGCCAUGCCAACUACACAAGAAGCUGGGAUGGGACACAGCUGGGACAGCUGGCCCAACCUGGCUGAAGGGAUAUUCCACACCAUAUGGCAUCAUCCUCAGCAUGUAAAUCUGAGGGAAGAAGGAGGAAGCGGGUGUGUUCAGAGUGAUGGUGUUUGUCCUCCCAAGUAAUUGUUACAUGUGAUGGAGCCCUGCUGUCCUGGAGCUGGCUGAACACCUGCCUUGUGGUGAAAAGGACAAUGAGAUAAAGUGUGAAGGAAUGAAAUGGCAAGUUUCAUGGACAAACAAAUAUGCUUGAAGCACAGAGACAAAACAGUGUGAUCAGCCUCAUCUUUUGUAGAAAGUGGCAGAUAAACAGUAAAGUAGAAAAGCCUGGAUGGAAACAUCACAGGUGAGUUAUUUCAGCUUUUGGUGUUCUAGAGCUACCACUAGUCACAUACAAGCAAAAAUAUUCUGAACCAUGGAUAUUCAUAUUUAUUUAUCUCCUGACAUUCUACCAUAUUUGUAGAAAAGGAACUUCUGUUACAUACCUACUUGUCCCAGUUCACAAGCUUCAAAAAACUAGAUUGGAAAGUUUAAAGCACAAACAUGUGAUCUGAUUUAUCUUCUACACCAUCUAGAACAUGUAUACAGAGAAAAUAAAUAUAAGGAGAUUGUUUAAAGACCAAUACAGGAAAGGUGGGUUUUGUUGGUUGGCUGGUUGUUUCUGGUGUGGUUUUGUUUGUUUGGUUGGUUGGUUUUUUGUAUGCAUGUAUGUGUGGUUUUGUUUUUUGUUUGUUUUGAGUUUGGUUUUGGUUUUUUUUUUUUGUUUUUGUUUGGUUUUGUUUGUUUAUUUGUUUGUUUGUUUUUUAAUGGUGAUUCAGUCUGAAGAAUCAAAAUCAAAAUCUGAAAUUUAUAUUUCAUGUAUAAAGGGGGUUUCCUGGAGUUUUCAUCACAUUACAGUAUUUACACUGGUUCCCCAGUAAUAGUGCAAAACAAAUAUUUGCUGUUGACGUGACAAUGACAGAACUAUUAUUCUCAGAUUAAUGCAAUCUGACAUAUAAGCUUAUUUUCUUAAUUUAUUUUAAAGCAUUGGAGUACAAUAGAUAUCAAGUUUUUCAUUCAGUAUUGGAAAAGUUACUACUCAAGAAAAUAUAAAAGUAACAGAGACUGGCCAAACAUCUUUAAUGUGGAAACUAGGUAAAAGAGAAGGAAAAAGAAGUAGUGUGGAAAGAGGAGCUUUCAGGUGUAGAUGAGGUUACUGUUGAACUUCUUCAAGAUCGGUCUUAGGACCAGUCUUGGUUAACAAAUUCAAUAGCUAUAUUUACAUAAAAAAGUUUGAGUACAACAAUGAAAGCUGUUAAUG